AGGAGGCAACCCUGAGAUUGCAAGAAUUGCAAGAAGCCACUAUUACCUCCAGGGCCAGCAGGGAGGGGAUUGACUCCCUGCCACUCUAUUGUGGACGGUCUUGACGUGACUGUAAAUCUGGGAAGCUGAAGAGGUUUGGGGAGGCUCCUUCCAGUAGACCUCUCCUUUCACCGCCUUGUACAGCAGGCCCGGGCAUGCGACCUAGACUCAGCCAAUUUGACGUUCUCUCCUGGGAUUAUGAAUCUUGAACCAGCAUGAAAAAAGAUCUGGGACCGGUCACUAAUUCAGAAGAGGGUAGACACAGGGCUUCCGAGCUUGGCGAGUAAGAGCCUACCUGGACAGCUCUCCUUGCUGCAGCGGGGAGGUAUGAGUUUGCAAAGCAUCUCUCAAAUGGGUAAAUUUUUCUUUGAUCUUAUGCUGAAUUAGUUUCUUCUCUUACAAAGCCCGUGUCUGGCUUUCAGCCUCAAAACAAUACAUCUCAAUCUGAAAUCUCCUCUCAGCUGGCAUUUUUCCUUUUCUUGUAUGUCAAUGGAUUUUUUUCUGUUUCUUUUCUUUUAUGUUCAUGCAACAAUCCUGAAAAUAGAGUGAUUCAACUGCGUGAAGACAGCUGUACUUCCAAAUAAAAAUAUCUUCUGGAGGAAAAGAGUCUUUCUUAUAAGUAGAAUUGUCCCCCAAAAUUGUUCAGUUUUCAGAUUAUAGGGAAGGAAAUGAGCUCAACGGAAAAACCGAAAUAGACACACAUGAUUCCAGAGGAAUCUAAAGACAACGCUCAGAUCUGAGUUACCAGGCAACUCUCUCUCCAAGGAUGCCAUCAUUCUGAUUUUAUAGAAUAAUCAGGUGCCGGAAUUUCUGACUCAAGAGAUCUUGGGAUAAUAAUGAAUUCAUCUUUUAUGAUUUUAAAAAACUAUAAGAAGAAACUUCUCUCUUGCCUGGCACACACUUCACUACUUUUUCUUUCACAGUUUCUUUGUUGUGCGUCUUUAAAGCAAACAGAUCUUCACUUGUUUGGGAUGUUUUUGUUGGAUCCUGCUGAGAGUGGGGAUAGAUGGAAGACCACUCAAGACACUGCUUUUUAGCUGCUUCGGAAUCUGAUCUGAUGGUUAUUAAGAAGUUUUAUCUACAAGGAACAAAGGGAAAAUUGCACAUAAACAUCAUCUAAAACAACAGUCAUGGGACAUUCAGCCUCAUGCCUGAAAACAGGGUAAACAAAUUGGAUACAGAGCUGGACAAAGACAAAGGCACAUAAAAGAGUGUUUUCAUCAAUAUCUGAAAAAAAAACAUCCUUGCAGUAACAGUCGUCUGUUCAGGCACUUGUGUACAAAAUCUCAGAAUAGAGUUUUAGUAAAAAUUGUGUGCUAAUUUUCCAUUUUCUUUUUGUCUGUACCAUGAUAUGUUACCUUUUAUUCAUUUGCUCAUUAGUGAAAGCCUAAUUUGUGCGAGAGUCUCUGCUAGACAUGAGUCCACGCCAGUGCAAGAGUCUGCAGUCCCAGCCUCCAAGAUGCUUACCCUCCAGAGAUGGAAAGAGACAUGUCGACAGCUCUUGACCAAUGAUAUAGGACUGAAAAUAGUAGGAUCUACUGUUUGUGCCAUUACAGGGGGGCCCACUACCUAAGGC
ensembl:lncRNA